CUCGAUCUCCUGACAUCGUGAUCCACCCGCCUCGGCCUCCCAAAGUGCUGGGAUUACAGGCGUGAGCCACCGCGCGCAGCCAUAUCACGUUUUUAAUAGGAAGUACUGAAAGAAGUGUGGUUUUUUUAGAUAGACCACAAUGAAAAAGGAAAUAAUUGCCUUAAAAGUUGUCUCACAGUUCUGAGAAUGACAUGAAACCAUAGCACCUCCAAUUGGACAUGACUUGAGGCAUCACCUUGUCAUCUACCUCUCUAAAGGAGACUUUGAGAGAGAUUGAGAGGGAAUCUGUUUUGUUUGUUUGUUUGUUUGUUUGUUUUGCAUUUUCCAGGUUUUAGAGGAUACUUACAUUUCUUGGCUCAUGACCCCUUCCUUCACUUUCAAAGUUAGUCAUGAUUGGUCAAGUCUUUCUCAUACUGCACCACUCUGACACUUCGUGUUUGUAGUCAAAUAGUCCCUCUCCUUUCCUCUAAUAACCAUUGUGAUUACAUUGGGCCUAUCCGGAUAAUACAGGCUAAUCUCCCUGUGAUGGUUAAUAUCGAGUAUCAACUUGAUUGGAUUGAAGAAUGCAAAGUAUUGUUCCUGGGUAUGUCUGUGAGGGUACUGCCAAAGGAGAUUAACAUUUGAGUCAGUGGACUGGGAGAGACAGGCUCACCCUCAAUCUGGGUGGGCACCACCUAAUCAGCUGCCAGAGUGGCUAGAAUAAAGCAGGCAGGAAAAGAUGGAAGAGCAGACUUGCUGAGCCUUUCAUCCUUCACCUUUCUAGCAUGCUGGAUGCCUCCUGCUCUUGAACAUCAGACUUCAAGUUCUUCAGCUGUUGGACUUUCGGACUUACCCCAGUGGUUUGCUUGCCACAGACUGAAGGCUGCACUGUUGCUUCCCUACUUUUGAGGUUUUGGGACUCGAACUGAUCCACCACUGUCUUCCUUGCUGCUCAACUUGCAGACGGCCUAUCGUGGGACUUUACCUUGUGACUGUUGAAUGAAAGAGAUCAAGAGAACUGAAUCUCUAAGCCACUACCCAUCUUCAUACAGGGUGGAAGAAUAUACAAGACAGAAGAUCUCAUUUAACUGAAAAUUUAACUUCGACUUUAAUAUUCCUAGAGUUUUUCUACACAUGAAAUAUUAGAAAACAUGCUACCUUGCAGUGAUUCUUCAGCCACUGUGUCACAUUGCUGUGGGUUGCUCUGAACAAUUCAGAGUUCACAGGUCUUCGAAUCAAGAAGGGGCCUUGAGGAGCUGCACCCAAAGAAAUGAACUCAAGUAUUGUCAUCUGUACCUGCCUUCAUUGAGAUGAUGAAGCCUUAACUUGUUGCUUUAGCAACACGAGACUUUGGGGAUGUCUUGGGAGGAAGUGAGUACAUCAUGCAUGUGGAAGAAAUGUAAAUAAAUUUUGGUCAUUUUAAAACCUGACCUAGAAAUUCUCUGACACUCCUCCCAUCAAAAACUGGGGCCUAUAUAACAUCCCAUUAAAUUUUAUUUCUGUGACUAUUUGAGCAAUAGAAUAUAGUGGAAUUGAUGUUUUGCUAGUUUUGGGGCCAAAGCCUUAAGAAACUGGCAGCUGCCACUUCCUGUUGCUUGGAGUACUUGCUCCUGUAACCCAGGCAUCAAUCCAUGAGGAUGCACCCUGUGGAGGUGCCCAUAUAGUGAGGCCCAUGUGGAAAGGAACCAAGCAGCCCCUGCUCUCAGCCUGAGUUGAGCUCGUGAACAAUAGACAGCACCAAAUUGCACCCCAUGUGAGUAAAUCAACUUAGAGGUGGAUCCUCCAGUUCCCAGUGGAGUGGCCCCUGCUGAUACUAUCUUGAAAAGAAAUAAACUUUCUCUGCCUGAUCCCAUUUCAUACCAUAAUAAUUGUGAUUUAUCUAUGCAGUAACAGACAACCAAAACAUAACUAUCACAAGAUAAAUAAUCUUGAGGAAAAGGAAGAUGUUUUGGUAGUAAAAUUAUGAGUGCUACAGAGGGUUAAGAGAAUUGUUAUUUUUAAGAAGUAAUCUCUCUCUUUGUAGAUUUAUACUACCCAGACCAGGUGUCUAAUAAAAUAAUCUCUGAAAA
rnacentral:lncRNA from 10 species